ACGAAAUGUUGGUGCUUUGUGAGCUGUACCCGCCGCUUUGUCGGCAUACCUAUUCAUUGCCUUUUGUAUCAGAGUGGCCGGGGACCCACAAUAAUUUUUUGGUGAACAUAAGAAGAUUCCUUAUUUUAUUUACAACUGAGACGUGUAGUUGAUGUUUAGGACAGCGUUUAUAACUGAUAUGCUGUCAGUUGUUAUUAUGAAUUUCCCACGUUUUGUGCAUACAUUUUUAGCAGCUUCUAAUAUUGUAACUGCUUCUGCUGUGAAGAUCGACGCUUGUUCGCAGAGUAGGCCCGUGCUUACCAGUGAUCCGUUCUCACGAAUAACAGCAAAAGAGACGCUUUCACAUGUUUUGGAACCGUGCAUCGGUCGCACAGUCAGAUAUCUCCUAAGCAGAUUCAAUUCCUAUUCUUAUUUAAAACAAUUGUUAAAAUUUUGUUAUAUUAAAUGCCAUAUUUUUUGGAUCCCAUACAAUUUAUCGAAAAAAUUUAUUCAUGAAUUUCAGCGAUUCAAUGAAAAAUUCACACCAUCGUUUUCAACUAUAGAUUGGUCAUAAUUUAGUGCGCGGAAAAAAACGAAGAUAAAAAUGUCAGCUUUAAUAAUUUAUUUGCACUGUGAAUAGAUGAAUGCUUUUAUUGAUGUUGCCUUUUUCUUUAUUUUUUUUUAUUUAGGUCUCUUGAUAGAUACCAUUUGUGCCAAGCCCGCCCUAUGGAAUAUAAAAGACGUCGGUUAUAAAGAUCGUGCUUUCAGGAACUAUUGUGGAUGGAAGUUCUUUUUGAGUUAGGUAGGUAUGUUUUAAGCUAGAUCCACACUAGGUUGAUCAACACGUUCAAUAUACGUUCCAAAUCGAUAUAUACAAAUUUAUGUAGGUACAUAUAUAAAAGUUAAAAAUUCAGAUAUUAUAUAUCAGGGUUUGAAUUACGGCAUACGUUCGUUAUCGUAUCGUUGCUAUAUGUCCCUAUCUUUUUCUACUAAAUAAAUAGAGACAGAAAUAAUCCAAACGUUAACGUAUGAUCGUAAUCGUGUGCUGUAAUUCGACCCCAGACUGAAAUGACGAAUACAAAACUACACUAGGUUGAUCAACACGUUCAAUAUACGUUCCAAAUCGAUAUAUACAAAUUUAUGUAGGUACAUAUAUAAAAGUUAAAAAUUCAGAUAUUAUAUAUCAGGGUUUGAAUUACGGCAUACGUUCGUUAUCGUAUCGUUGCUAUAUGUCCCUAUCCUUUUCUACUAAAUAAAUAGAGACAGAAAUAAUCCAAACGUUAACGUAUGAUCGUAAUCGUGUGCUGUAAUUCGACCCAGACUGAAAUGACGAAUACAAAACCACCACAACUACAAGUAUGCGGUACCAUUGUCAUUCUUAGAUGACACUAGGGAACCUAGAAAAACAACGACGUUGAUGACAUCUGCCGAUACUGAGACGGCAAGUGGGGUUUCAGAGAAAACCACUUCGAAAAUAAAAAAUCCACUAAAGUCAAUGCAGCAAAUUUUCCAGCAAGAGGCACUUACCAUCCUCAAAGACAUUAAUACACCAAAGCCACAACAACCACAAGAAAAAUCUUUUACUGCAUUGACAUGCGAGUUUAUAAAGAAAUAUAUGGAGGCGUUGCCAGAUUCGGACCAAUGGUCAUUAAAGCUGAAACACAAUCACGCUUUAGGGCGUCGCUUCGUUGCGUUACGUUGAGAAUCUUCAAAGCGCGCUUCUGUCACUUUGACUUUGAACAGCUGAUUGCAACAUAAAAUCUGCUGUCAAAUAAAAAAAAAACUAAACAAUUAUUCAUACAGCUGAAAUUUUUUUUUCACCUCAAUAGUGUCAAAAAUUUUACACGGUGUUAACUAUUUAACGCAAUUCACACACGGCCUUGAGUUCAGGUGGCCUGCGUUGAACGCGGGGAAUAUAACAUAGAUCCCAUCUUUCUACAAAUUUGACACUGCCUAAAAAUCUAGAUAUAAAUUUUAAGAAUAUAAGUGCUUUCAGCUUGGAAAUCGGUUAAAACAGAAAAAAGUUAUACGCAUAAAACUUUGAACGUCUUUCCUGAAAAAAAAAACAGUUAUGAUAGAAAAGAAAAAGACAGAUUGCUUAAAAGCCCAAUGGAAAUACAGUCAAACUUCGAUAACUCGAAUUUUGUAUAACUCGAACAGAAGUAUGUGGCAGCACCGUUAGAGUUCAUAUCUCAUAGGUUUUUUUUCCUCAUAGUUCGAGCUUUUAUAACUCGAUUUUCUCUAUAACUCGAACAAAAAAUAUGGCCUAUGCAUCAAUUAAGUCGAAUGAUUUGUGGGAAUUCCCAUUUAAUGAAACAAAAUAAAAAAAAACAUCACGUAUUCAUUUGAAAUUCGAGUUUUGAAAAGAAUUAUCUUUUGAUAACAGAACAUUUUGAGGGAAUUCCCAUUUUAAGAAAAAAAAAAUUAAAAUAUCACAUGUGCAUUUGAAAUUCGAAUUUUUAAAGCGAAUUUUCAUAUAAAAAUGAAUACCUACAUACAACCACACAUAUUUAUUACAUGUUUCGUUGCUGUUUCGAAGUUGUAAGUAGCACACAUUUGUAUUUCAUCCAAAAGCACAAAAUAUAUAUGUACCUACCUAUGUAUGUAGGUAUUUAAAAUAUUGAAUUGCCUAGUUUUUUUUUAAAUUUUAAUCAACAAUUUGGAUAACUCGAAGUCUUGAUAAGUCGAACUUUUAUAGUGGAUAAUAGAAGUUCGAUUUAUCGAAGUUUGACUGUAUAUUAGACUGAUUCAAAAAAAAAUUUUUUUUUGUUCAAAGCAUUGUUGAAAAUAUUGUUGGAAAUGACGAAAAAAAAAAAUACUGUAAAAGUUUCAGCCCUUAAUGUUAACAUUUAGUACAUUUAGACCUCUAAGGCACUUUUCGCUAAUUUUGAAGUGUCCUCAGGGUCAUUUUCCGGGAUAAAGCGCCAUAAAAGCGGCGAAUUUUCUUCGGCAUAUGUAACGCUAACGUGAAAUGGUACAGGAUAAUAUCUUUGUACAAAUUCUGGUCCAUUUUGGGGUUUAUCUUCACUAUUGGACCAACACCGUGCCAAAAAAAGGCAGCCUAUACUAUCGCGUUUUCACCACCUUGCUUAACUGCCUUAAUGGUGUACUUUCAAGGAUUGCUUCUGAAAUGGAUUUCCAGCUACCUUUAUAAAAGAACACAAUGUGUGAAAUUGGGGAAAUUCUUCUCCAAUAUCAUACAAGCUUCAUCAGGAGUUCCACAAGGUAGCCAUCUGGGACCACUUCGUUCCAAUAUAUUUGUUAAUGAUAUCCCAUCUCUUCCUGAAAAUGCAUCUUGUGUGAUGUAUGCUGAUGACAUGAACAUUUUUCUUUGUAUCAAAAAUAGAAUUGAUCAGCAAAAUCUUCAAAAUGACUUAAAUGUUUUAUCUGAUUGGUGUGAUAGGAAUAUCCUUCCAUUAAAUAUAACAAAAUGUAAUGUGUUUACGGCACAUCGUAUUUUAGUUCCAAUGAUCCACAACUACCAUAAUGUUCAACCAGAUUCUUGAUCGCAAAUCUGAGAUUCGUGAUCUUGGAGUCAUUUUUGAUCCAAAAUUGUCUUUUUCGUUACAUAUAGACUAUGUAAUUGCAAGGGCUAAUUCAAUGCUUGGUUUCGUCAAGCGAAACUGCAGCGAGUUUUCUAACCCUUAUGCUCUGAAAUCAGUGUACAUGUCAUUAGUUUGUCCGAUCCUUGAAUAUUGUUCAAUUGUUUGGUGUCCUUCUACUUCUAUUGGGAUAACUCGUAUUGAAAGAGUUCAAAAGGCUUUCAUAAGAUUCGUAGUUAGGCAACUGAAAUGGAGAAUAGAUACUCCAAGAUAUGCUUUGAUUGGACUUGAUUCUUUACAAAAAAGGCGUACUGUUCAGUGUGUACUGUUUGUCCAUGAUGUAUUUUCAUACCGUAUCAAAUGCCCACAGAUAAUUUAUAAUUUUGAAAUCUAUAUUCCGGUGAGAAGAUUGCGUCUUCGUUAUUUCUUUAACAAUCCUAAAUAUAGAUGUAAUUAUGGUUGCAACGAACCAUUUUCUAGAUUCAUAAAAUUUUUCAACACUAUAUGUAAUUAGGCUUGUGUAGUUCGCGAACGAACUAGUUCAAUGAACUAAGUCAUUUUGGUGAACUAUGGAACUAAGUUCACUUACUUAGUUCAAUUUAGUUCGCUGUUAGCAAAGAAGAUUUUUUCAACAAAAUAAAAAGCAACCUAGAGCAGUCGUAAUAUGACAUGACUGAACAGCUUGCGAUCACCUUACACCAUAAUUAUUAAUGUUUAUGAGUUCUUUGGGCGAAAGGAAGUCCCAUAUGUACAAGGAAUUUUCAAAUGUUGUCACCAACAGCACCCUUCUUUUAGACCGACGAACGUUUAAAGAAUAGUGGUUCAGACACUAAAGUGCAUAUGAAACUGCAUCCAAUCCUUUGCGGAGCGAAAUCGGUUCAUCUGCUCUACUUAAAGAUUUAGAUGUAAAAGUGCACAAAGUCGCUUAUGCAAGUUUCAGCUUACAGCGUUUCUGCUUCAAGCACCACUACUCUAAUUUCUGAGUAAGAACAAAAAACAAUAUAAUAAAAGCAAAACGAUCUUCUCCUACACUUCCAGGAGAAAUCGGAAAACUUGACAAGUUAUGGACAAAAUUAAGAAUUUUUAUAAGAAAUAAAAUGUUUAUCUAUUAUUUUUAACUUGAUGUUUGUAUUAUAUGUAGAGUACUUAAAUUUUACACAAAUUUGGAUACAUUUUGAAAAAAGUACCUAAUUUUGUUUUUUUAAUUCCAACAAAAACGGAGUCAUUGAAAUAAAUUGAACUAGUUAGGAACUAUAUCAGUAGCGUGAUUUGAACUAAAAUGAUCGAUCACUCAGAUGAACUAAAGUGCCCAACUCUAUAUGUAAUGAACUUGAUUUUUCUACGAACAGAUGUGAAUUUAAAAUCCAAUUGCAAAGCAUAUUAUAAAUUAGC